UACGUAGGGGGGCAAGCGUUGUCCGGAAUCAUUGGGCGUAAAGCGCGUGUAGGCGGCUCGAUAAGUCUGCUGUGAAAGUCCAGGGCUCAACCCUGGGAUGCCGGUGGAUACUGUCGAGCUCGAGUCCGGAAGAGGCGAGUGGAAUUCCUGGUGUAGCGGUGAAAUGCGCAGAUAUCAGGAGGAACACCGAUGGCGAAGGCAGCUCGCUGGGACGGUACUGACGCUGAGACGCGAAAGCGUGGGGAGCGAACAGGAUUAGAA
rnacentral:rRNA from 1 species